AGUGCCCACACACCACUGAGCACUGAGGGGCGGGGGACGUGCGGUGUGCUUGGCCUUCACUUCCUGCUAUAGGUUCACGAGGUUUUUCAGAAUCUAGUCACUGCGUCACACAGCCUUAGACUCACAUAAUCUCCAAGCAUCACAGACUCUUAGGAUUAUAAAAGUCAAGAGCCAUGGAAUCUUAGAAUAAUGGAAUUAUCCAGAGAAGAGUGGGAUUCUGCUGUGUGGGCUUUCCUGGGUUCUCAACCCUGUGCUGUGUGGGAAUGCCACCCACGUCCCUGGCAGGAGCCACUGUCCAGUUUCCCAUCUCCUGGCCAUCGCUUCUUAUAAGACAAACAUUAGCAGAGACUAAGAGCACACCUACAAUUCAAUUCCAAGGAGGCGUGGUACAAGGGAAAAAGCAAUUCAUCUGGAGUCUGAGAGCCUGGGUUCAAAUCCUGCCUCUAGGAUUGUGGGUAAAUCAAUUAACCCUCCUGGGACUUUUUCCUCAUGUGAAAAACAAGUGGGUUGGAC
rnacentral:lncRNA from 1 species